CUGGGGAUUGGUGAACUCAGCUUGGAAUCUUUGCUCUGUGGGGAAACGGCAGUCACCGGUCAACAUAGAGACCAGUCACAUGAUCUUCGACCCCUUUCUGACGCCCCUUCGCAUCAACACUGGGGGCAGGAAGAGCUGCUGAUAGCAAGAUGUCUUCAGGAAAUGCCAAAAUUGGGCAUCCUGCCCCCAACUUCAAAGCCAGGGCUAUUAUGCCAGACCUCCAAUUCAAAGGCCUCAGCCUACUGACUACAAAGGAAAAUACAUUGUAUUCUUCUUUUACCCUCUUGACUUCACUUCUGUGUGCCCCACAGAGAUCAUUGCUUUCAGUGACAGGGCAGAAGAAUUUAAGAAACUCAACUGUCAAGUGAUUGGUGCUUCUGUGGAUUCUCAUUUCUGUCACCUGGCAUGGAUCAACACACCCAAGAAACAAGGAGGACUGGGACCCAUGAACAUUCCCUUGGUAUCAGACCCCAAGCGUACCAUUGCUCAGGACUAUGGAGUCUUAAAGGCUGAUGAAAGCAUCUCGUUCAGGGGCCUCUUUAUCAUUGAUGAUAACAGUAUCCUUAGGCAGAUCACGGUAAAUGACCUUCCUGUCGGCUGCUCUGUGGAUGAGACUCUGCGAAUGGUUCAGGCCUUCCAGUUUACUGACAAGCAUGGGGAAGUGUGCCCAGCUGGCUGGAAGCCUGGCAGUGAUACCAUCAAGCCUGAUGUCCAGAAGAGCAAAGAAUAUUUCUCUAAGCAGAAGUGAGCGCCAGGUCAUUUUAGGGCUGGGCUGCAGUGGGUGGCCAUGAAAACAAAAUCUCUUUUGUACUAUUGUCAUGCUUAGAACGUAAGACAUUAGACUCUGUGCAGAUGUGGUAUGGGGACAGGACAGGGCUUUCCUGCAGGGGUUGGGGAGGCCAGCCUUUCUUCCUCUGGAGAGAAGGGCCUGAGCUGUUAUGGGGCAGGCCACCUGUUAUGUACAGUAGCAGGGCAUUGCUUUUUGUCUUUUGUUGUUUCUAUUAAACUUGAACUG